UAUAGCUGUGACAGCCUACUGGUUAGGACGUCUGCCUCCUAAUGGGAGGUCGUUGGUUCGUUCCCGGACACGCACCUCUAACUUUUCGCAGUUGGUGAAGGAAAACACCGU